CUUCACGCGGGAUCGUCCUCCUCCACUUAUUUCCCCACACCGAACACUAUCUCUCUUCCCCUUUUCUCUUCCUCUCCCACAUGCCGCUAGAUUCAUGGCCACUUGCGCUGCAAUCCGAGGGAAGGAGCUAGCUGCUGCGGGCUGGGCUGGCGGCACAAGUGCUACAAGGAGCAGGAGCCCCGUGUUUUUGACGGAGGCGACGACAGGCUACAAGCGGGGCGCCACCACCAACUACCGAUGCGAUUCGCGGGCGGAGAUGCUGCUACUCGACGCGGCGGAGCUGCAACCGUAGUUCAGCGGAGCUACAACCGUACAUCGGUGGAGUUGCAACUGUCUGCCCAGGUUAUCUUCAGAGCUACAGCUUGGAUCCGUACGUGGUCCUUACUCACUCAUAUGGACUCCAGGGAGCCUUUGGUUACUGGGUGCAACCAAUGGGAGAUGGUGGCUCGGGCUAUAUUCAACCGGUUCGGAUGGCGGUCGCAUAACAGGAUAGGAGUCUAGAGAGAUUGUCCUCAUUAUUACCGUACCGGUUGUCUUUGUCCGCUUGUACUUUUCAGUUUUUAUGCCUUGUGCUUUGCUCCAUUUGCGAGCUGUAAGACCUUUGCAGUGAUACUUUCUGAAUUUUUAAUAGAAAGGCUGUAUGGAUCAUUA